GCUCUCAUAGCUCAGCUGGAAGAGCGCAAGACUGAAGCACCUGCCGCUUCAUAAGUGGAUGAACAAGUCCUUCUUGAGGCCACCUGUUCGAACCAGGUUGGGAGCAA
rnacentral:tRNA from 1 species